rnacentral:lncRNA from 1 species
AGAAUCUUCACUUUUACCUUUAGAUUUUUCUUCCUGUUUAGCUUUGAUCUUAUUCUUAACUUUGCCUAUCGUAUCCUUAAUUUUGUCCUUAAUAUUACUUGGUUUAAUACUCACCGGUAUAAUAUUACUUGGUUUAAUACUCUCUGGUAUAAUAUUACUUGGUUUAAUACUCUCCGGUAUAACAUUACUUGGUUUAAUACUCUCUGGUAUGCCCAACAGAGAUAGGGAUGGCGAAGCUGCCGGAGCCGCCGCAACUUUUUUACUGCCGAGCCCUGCGGCUAGGACAGUAGUGGCUGCAAUAGCAG